UGCUCAUCUGCUGCUGCAGUGUUGGUCAUCCUCUAGUCCUUCAUCAGUGGUCACAGGAUGCUGUUGGCUGGAUGUUUUUGGUCAAUUCAUUAAUUGCAUUAUUUGUGCAGUGAUCCCUUGAAGGCCUUGUUGAAGCAGUAAUGCACUGUAGGCUGUUAUUUUGGUGCUGUACAUGUGAAAUCACUGGAGUCUAGUGGAUUAUUGCUGUUCAGCUGUUUGUGUUAAAUGUGGAUCCUGUGUUCCUGCAGACUCUGAGGCUGAUGGAGCUCCUGUUUCUGAACCCACAGAAACCCCAACACCUUUCACCACCACAUCUGAGCCCUUCACAGAAGAUGAUGAGUCUCUUCUCCUGCCAACUGUGAGCUCACCUGAGAGGGACACGACUACUGUCAAGUCUCUGGACGUCAGCCCUGCAGCAGAUGAGCUAGAUACUGACUCCAACUCUCCGGUCUAUCCUUACAGUAGCACAUCGUUACACGGCAUGUUGUUGGAAAGUAAAGCUGACACAGUGGCCUCCGCUGCCUCUGAGGGCCAUCCUGAAGGUUUACAGAAGAGAUCGGUCUGAUGUGGUGUGGACGGUCAGUUUGAGAAAUAAACAUUCCAAACUGUAUUGGCUGUGGGCUCUUCUUCUGCUGGGCUAGCAGAGUAUCAGCGGCACCCAUUUAACCCCUUAAGUUAUGCCCAGAGCUUUAUUAUGCACUCCUAUAACCCAAGAAUGUC
ensembl:lncRNA